UUCACUCUGACCUACCCAUGAAGAACUGGAGAAGGGGGACAAUGAGACAUAACUCUAACAUUGGAGUCUCGCAUAGAGGAAUACAAAUAGUCCGGAAUCCGGAUUUUACAAUGCAUGCUCAAUGGAGGACAAUAAUGGCUAAAAAAAGAAGUGUAUACAACUUUAGUGGCACAAGCCUCUGUUUUUUCUUUCUAAAGGAUGCUCCCUCCAUUCCAAAUU
rnacentral:lncRNA from 1 species